GACGAACGCUGGCGGCGUGCUUAACACAUGCAAGUCGAACGGAAAGGCCCUGCUUUUGUGGGGUGCUCGAGUGGCGAACGGGUGAGUAACACGUGAGUAACCUGCCCUUGACUUUGGGAUAACUUCAGGAAACUGGGGCUAAUACCGGAUAGGAGCUCCUGCUGCAUGGUGGGGGUUGGAAAGUUUCGGCGGUUGGGGAUGGACUCGCGGCUUAUCAGCUUGUUGGUGGGGUAGUGGCUUACCAAGGCUUUGACGGGUAGCCGGCCUGAGAGGGUGACCGGCCACAUUGGGACUGAGAUACGGCCCAGACUCCUACGGGAGGCAGCAGUGGGGAAUAUUGCACAAUGGGCGGAAGCCUGAUGAAGCAACGCCGGGUGCGGGAUGACGGCCUUCGGGUUGUAAACCGCUUUCGCCUGUGACGAAGCGUGAGUGACGGUAAUGGGUAAAGAAGCACCGGCUAACUACGUG
rnacentral:rRNA from 1 species